rnacentral:rRNA from 1 species
AACGUAGGGGACAAGCGUUAUCCGGAUUUACUGGGCGUAAAGCGCCCGUAGGCGGCCUGACAAGUUGGACGUGAAAGCUCCUGGCUUAACUGGGAGAGGCCGUUCAAAACUGUCAAGCUAGAGUCUGGAAGAGGAGAGCGGAAUUCCCGGUGUAGUGGUGGAAUGCGUGGAGAUCGGGAGGAACACCAGUGGCGAAAGCGGCUCUCUGGUCCAAAACUGACGCUGAGGGGCGAAAGCGUGGGGAGCGAACGGG